CCUACGGGUGGCAGCAGUGGGGAAUAUUGCACAAUGGGGGAAACCCUGAUGCAGCGACGCCGCGUGAGUGAAGAAGUAUUUCGGUAUGUAAAGCUCUAUCAGCAGGGAAGAAAAUGACGGUACCUGAGUAAGAAGCCCCGGCUAACUACGUGCCAGCAGCCGCGGUAAUACGUAGAGGGCAAGCGUUAUCCGGAAUUACUGGGUGUAAGGGAGCGUAGACGGUGAUGUAAGUCUGGAGGGAAAGGCGGGGGCCAAACCCCCGGACUGCUCUGGAAACUUUGUGACUGGAGUGCAGGAGAGGUGAGCAGAAGUCCUGGUGUAGCAGUGAAAUCCGUAGAUAUCUGGAGGAACAUCAGUGGCGAAGGCGACUAUCUGGCACAUAACUGACGCUGAGGAGCGAAAGCGUGGGUAGCAAACAGGAUUAGAUACCCGGGUAGUC
rnacentral:rRNA from 1 species